UGUUUACCAAAAAUAUAAGCCUCCGCAAAAUCAUGAGAUGAUAUAGGGCUCGAAGCCUGCUCAGUGUCGGAAAGUUAAGGAAGUUGGUAACCUGAUGAUAGUGGAGCCGACAACUGUAGACCAAGUGAACGACAAUAGUAACUAUAACGAUCUUAAAGUAGAAAAUUUCUUGUCUGUUAAGUUACAAUUGAACGCAGGCG
rnacentral:ncRNA from 1 species